GCCUAAUACAUGCAAGUCGAACGCUUCUUUUUCCACCGGAGCUUGCUCCACCGGAAAAAGAGGAGUGGCGAACGGGUGAGUAACACGUGGGUAACCUGCCCAUCAGAAGGGGAUAACACUUGGAAACAGGUGCUAAUACCGUAUAACAAUCAAAACCGCAUGGUUUUGAUUUGAAAGGCGCUUUCGGGUGUCGCUGAUGGAUGGACCCGCGGUGCAUUAGCUAGUUGGUGAGGUAACGGCUCACCAAGGCCACGAUGCAUAGCCGACCUGAGAGGGUGAUCGGCCACAUUGGGACUGAGACACGGCCCAAACUCCUACGGGAGGCAGCAGUAGGGAAUCUUCGGCAAUGGACGAAAGUCUGACCGAGCAACGCCGCGUGAGUGAAGAAGGUUUUCGGAUCGUAAAACUCUGUUGUUAGAGAAGAACAAGGAUGAGAGUAACUGUUCAUCCCUUGACGGUAUCUAACCAGAAAGCCACGGCUAACUACGUGCCAGCAGCC
rnacentral:rRNA from 1 species